AGUCGAGUUAAAAUUUAUCUAAACUACUCAGGAGUGUUUCACGAGGCUCAACUCUCUGGUUUCACGGUAGUUUAACUACAUUUUGCCGCUUUUUGCCGAUUGUUGCGCGAUUCCUUGUUUUCUGCCGUAAAAUAGUCGACUUCGGCGGCAGCCGAAGUGUGGCCUUUUGACCCUCUUAAACAAACAAAUAAUUUUGACGACAAGAAGAAUCGCGCCGAAGUGUGGACUUUUGGACUCUUGUAAAACAAAGAAUAUGUGACGUCAAGAAGAAUCCCGCCGAAGUCGUCGAAAUUUACAGUAAAGAAAGAUUGAAAUUAAUUUACUCUACCUAUUGUUAUUGCCUCCCGGUAGCCGGUCGGUUGGAUAGGGUAGGAUUCAACAUGUCUAAAGGCUAAGAAAGUUUUGUAUUGACUUGCAGCAAGUAAAUGGAAGGCUUGAAUAUAUGAUUGCGGAAUGAAAUUGAGCAAUGUUGCUAAGAAGAAACAUGACUGGAAAACAUUUAUGCUCUGUGUUGCCUGGGAUUGCAGAAGAAAGCAGUUUGGCAAAAUAAAUAGACUUUUUUGAGUUAACAAAAUUAUAGCAUUAACUUUAUAAUGAAAACGUUUUCAGAUUCAAAGCUCCUGGCAAUAAACACUUUUUAAACGAUUUCUCAAAAUGCCACAAGGCCACAGACGAGAACACUAGUCGUGACUAGUUUUGGGAGAAUGACUUCGACAAGACUUGAAGAUAAUUGGUUUAAAAGCUCUAAUCUUAUAUCGAGAUAAUUCCUGGGAACGAUGUUAAUUAUAAAAAUUAGGAAAAAGCAUGGUUUUAAUUAAUGGGUGAAAUGACGAAAGUUUUUCACAUUUCACUAAAGAAGUUAUGCUGACAGGCAUGGAAAAUGUUUGUGGUUCUACCAACAUAACGAAAUGACUUAGCAUAUAUACACAUACAGCGCUAUCCUGAUUGACACAAAAUGUGUAAAUGUAGUUAACGAUAUCUGUUUUUAAAUGAUUUGUUUUGUUAAAAUUUUUUAAGUAGUUAGUGUUUAUCGCAUAACAGCUAGGUAUUUCCAAGUUUGAUUCAACAUUUUAGAGUCUUAGCCAAUAAGGGCUACAUAUUUUUGACUGAAUGUUGUGCUAAAUCAGUGGUCAUUCACUUGUUGUGGUAGGUUGUGUUGUUUUUAAUUAGCUAUUGCUGCGUAAAAACCAAAUUUUAUAUAGCGGCCUUUACUUGUGCAAAAUCAUGAUAUAAUUUUGCUAUUUUUAUUUUAUUUAUCUGUUGUUGUUUAUGGUGUACUAUGAUCUAAUAAUACAAAUAAAGCCUAUUUACAAUGCA